CUUCCGAAACGGCAAACUAUCCGAAAGGGUAGGACGCAAAGCCACAAGCCUAAGGACUAUUUGGCAGGGUCUAUGGCGGUUGGGUUACCGAA
rnacentral:ncRNA from 1 species